rnacentral:rRNA from 1 species
UUCCGGUUGAUCCUGCCGGACCUGACUGCUAUCGGAUUGAUACUAAGCCAUGCGAGUCGUUGUACAAUACAAGGCGUACUGCUCAGUAACACGUAGUCGAUCUAACCUAUGGAUGGGGAUAACCUCGGGAAACUGAGAAUAAUACCCAAUAGGCCAUUAUGCCUGGAAUGGUUUAUGGCUUAAAUGAUUUAUCGCCGUAGGAUGGGACUGCGGCCUAUCAGCUUGUUGGUGAGGUAAUGGCCCACCAAGGCUAUAACAGGUACGGGCUCUGAGAGGAGGAGCCCGGAGAUGGGUACUGAGACACGGACCCAGGUCCUAUGGGGCGCAGCAGGCGAGAAAACUUUGCAAUGUGCGGAAGCACGACAAGGUUAAUCCGAGUGAUUUCUGCUAAAGGAAUCUUUUGUUAGUCGUAGAACCACUAGUGAAUAAGGGGUGGGCAAGUUCUGGUGUCAGCCGCCGCGGUAAAACCAGCACCUCAAGUGGUCAGGAGGAUUAUUGGGCCUAAAGCAUCCGUAGCCGGCUAGGUAAGUUUUCUGUUAAAUCCAUGCGCUUAACGUAUGGGCUGCAGGGAAUACUGCCUAGCUAGGGAGUG